rnacentral:rRNA from 1 species
UGCGUAGGCGGAUUAAUAAGUCAGUGGUGAAAACCUGCAGCUUAACUGCAGACCUGCCAUUGAUACUGUUAGUCUUGAGUACGGUCAAGGUAUGCGGAAUGUGUAAUGUAGCGGUGAAAUGCUUAGAUAUUACACAGAACACCGAUUGCGAAGGCAGCUUACUGGGCCAUUACUGACGCUGAGGCACGAAAGCGUGGGGAGCGAACAGGAUUAGAUACCCUGGUAGUCC